rnacentral:rRNA from 1 species
GCGGAGGAUCAUUACUGAAUAAUUAUGGUCGAGUUGUUGCUGGCUCUUAGGAGCAUGUGCACACUUGCCGCCAUUUUAUUUACCCACCUGUGCACCUUUUGUAGACCUUGGAUUAUGUUACUAAGGAAAACUUGGUAGAUGAGGACGUGUCUGUAUUGGACUGUUCUUGGGUCCUUGGUUUAUGAUUUUUGUUAUACACACGAAUGUAAUAGAAUGUAUUGUUGGUAGGCCUUUGUGCCAUUAAUCUAAUACAACUUUCAACAACGGAUCUCUUGGCUCUCGCAUCGAUGAAGAACGCAGCGAAAUGCGAUAAGUAAUGUGAAUUGCAGAAUUCAGUGAAUCAUCGAAUCUUUGAACGCACCUUGCGCUCCUUGGUAUUCCGAGGAGCAUGCCUGUUUGAGUGUCAUUAAAUUAUCAACCUCCUUAACUUUUUUGUUAACGGUUAGGCUUGGAUUGUGGGACGUGCGGGCUUUUUAACCAAAGGUCGGCUGUCCUUAAAUAUAUUAGUGAGGCUUUUGUUGACCGUCACUGGUGUGAUAAUUAUCUACGCUAUUCGAUCGUCUACAAUAAUUUAAAGCUUUGCUUAUAACCGUCCUUGUAGGACAACCUUUGACAAUUGACCUCAAAUCAGGUAGGACUACCCGCUGAACUUAAGCAUAUCAAUAA